UCUGAUAAUAGAGGCGCGAGAAUGAUGAGUACCUUCUUUGAGAAUAAUGGAUUCCGGGAUAAGUUGGGAAAGGCAGAUCGCCGAAGCAGAAAAUAGCCAAUUCUAUUUUUUGUUGGGCCAGCAUUGAAGAAAUGCUGGACUGUCACAAUGCAAAAGUUGUGGAGCACUAUUGAAGAG
rnacentral:ncRNA from 2 species